CGAAGAGGGAAUGCAAGGAGGGGAAGACAACGGAGGGACUUCCAAAGGGAUAUCCUUCCAGGUCUAGCUUCAUUGUCAAGGCAUGAGGUGACCGAAGACAUUCAGAUAUUUGGAGGGUUGAUGAGAGCAACAGGCCAUACUUGGAACUCCAGUUUGACAAGAAGGAAUGGGACAAGAAAUGGAGGUACUAGGGGAAGACGGAAAAAAG
rnacentral:misc_RNA from 1 species